GAUGAACGCUGGCGGCGUGCCUAAUACAUGCCAGUCGAGCGAACGGACGAGAAGCUUGCUUUUCUGAUGUUAGCGGCGGACGGGUGAGUAACACGUGGAUAACCUACCUAUAAGACUGGGAUAACUUCGGGAAACCGGAGCUAAUACCGGAUAAUAUUUUGAACCGCAUGGUUCAAAAGUGAAAGACGGUCUUGCUGUCACUUAUAGAUGGAUCCGCGUUGCAUUAGCUAGUUGGUAAGGUAACGGCUUACCAAGGCAACGAUGCAUAGCCGACCUGAGAGGGUGAUCGGCCACACUGGAACUGAGACACGGUCCAGACUCCUACGGGAGGCAGCAGUAGGGAAUCUUCCGCAAUGGGCGAAAGCCUGACGGAGCAACGCCGCGUGAGUGAUGAAGGUCUUCGGAUCGUAAAACUCUGUUAUUAGGGAAGAACAUAUGUGUAAGUAACUGUGCACAUCUUGACGGUACCUAAUCAGAAAGCCACGGCUAACUACGUG
rnacentral:rRNA from 1 species